UGGGGAAUAUUGGACAAUGGAGGAAACUCUGAUCCAGCAAUUCUGUGUGUGUGAAGAAGGUUUUAGGACUGUAAAACACUUUUAGUAGGGAAGAAAAAAAUGACGGUACCUACAGAAGAAGCAACGGCUAAAUACGUGCCAGCAGCCGCGGUAAUACGUAUGUUGCGAGCGUUAUCCGGAAUUAUUGGGCUUAAAGGGCAUCUAGGCGGUAAGACAAGUUGAAGGUGAAAACCUGUGGCUCAACCAUAGGCUUGCCUACAAAACUGUUGAACUAGAGUACUGAAAGGUGGGUGGAACUACACGAGUAGAGGUGAAAUUCGUAGAUAUGUGUAGGAAUGCCGAUGAUGAAGAUAACUCACUGGACAGAAACUGACGCUGAAGUGCGAAAGCUAGGGGAGCAAACAGG
rnacentral:rRNA from 1 species